rfam:Paenibacillaceae bacterium GAS479 genome assembly, chromosome: I
GGGGCUAUAGCUCAGCUGGGAGAGCGCCUGCCUUGCACGCAGGAGGUCAGGAGUUCGAUCCUCCUUGGCUCCA